rnacentral:lncRNA from 1 species
GAAAAUAGUAAUAAGUUGGUGCGAAAGUGAUUGCCGUUUUUGCCAUACAUACUAUUAAUGGCAAAAACUGCAGUUACUUUUACUCACUAUAUUACUUUGACUAGGGUGAUGGCAUUGGAAAUGGAGAGAGAUAAAUGGAUUUGGAAUACGUUUAGGAGGUAUAGUUAAUAGAGUUAGGGAAAGGAUUGGGUACGACAGCUGAAAGAAAGUACAAGGGGUGGGUGAAAAGUGACUCUUAGGUUCCUGGCUUGUGAAAUUGGAGGGAUG